rnacentral:rRNA from 1 species
CAAAAACAUCGCCUCUUGAUUCAUAUAAGAGGUCCAGCCUGCCCGGUGACAAAGUUUAACGGCCGCGGUAACCUAACCGCGCGAAGGUAGCAUAAUCACUUGUUCUUUAAAUAGGGACUAGUAUCAACGGCAUCACGAGGGUUACACUGUCUCCUCCCUCCAAUCAGUGAAACUGAUCUCCCCGUGAAAAAGCGUGGAUAAAGAUAUAAGACGAGAAGACCCCAUGGAGCUUUAAACCCAACAGCAACUCAGUAACAUAACCCCCCCAUAUUCUACAGAGAAAUGCACGUCGGUUUUAGGUUGGGGUGACCGCGGAGUAAAAACUAACCUCCACGACGAAAAGAACUAAAUCUUUAUCUAAGAACCACCGCUCUAAGAAUUAGUACACUAACGAACAAUGACCCAAUAAUUGAUCAACGAAACAAGUUACCCUGGGGAUAACAGCGCAAUCUACUUCAAGAGCCCAUAUCGACAAGUAGGCUUACGACCUCGAUGUUGGAUCAGGGUAUCCCAGUGGUGCAGCCGCUACUGAAGGUUC